rnacentral:misc_RNA from 1 species
GCUCAAAUGAUUGAUCAGUUGCCUCAAAUGGAACCAAUUACAUCUGAAGAAAUUUCUGCAGCUGCUUGUGAUGAUGAUCCAGACAGAUUAGAAUUGCCACAACUGUAUAACAAGAUGUGUAAUGUUUUGGAGCAAAACAUUCAUGAAUCAAUUCAGACGUCCCUAACCAACCAAGCAGCCAAUCUUAAGUUGAGGCAGGACCUUCUUCCAUUGGA